UACGUAGGGUGCAGGCGUUAAUCGGAAUUACUGGGCGUAAAGCGUGCGCAGGCGGUUUCUUAAGUCAGAGGUGAAAGCCCCGGGCUUAACCUGGGAACUGCGUUUGAAACUGGGAGACUUGAGUGUGGCAGAGGGGGGUGGAAUUCCACGUGUAGCAGUGAAAUGCGUAGAUAUGUGGAGGAACACCGAUGGCGAAGGCAGCCCCCUGGGUUAACACUGACGCUCAUGCACGAAAGCGUGGGGAGCAAACAGG
rnacentral:rRNA from 1 species